rnacentral:rRNA from 1 species
AGGAAAGUAGGGGAUCGCAAGACCUUGCGCUCUUGGAGCGGCCGAUGUCUGAUUAGCUAGUUGGUGAGGUAAAGGCUUACCAAGGCGACGAUCAGUAGCUGGUCUGAGAGGACGACCAGCCACACUGGGACUGAGACACGGCCCAGACUCCUACGGGAGGCAGCAGUGGGGAAUUUUGGACAAUGGGGGAAACCCUGAUCCAGCCAUGCCGCGUGAGUGAAGAAGGCCUUCGGGUUGUAAAGCUCUUUCAGCCGGAACGAAACGGUCACGGCUAAUACCUGUGACUACUGACGGUACCGGAAGAAGAAGCACCGGCUAACUACGUGCCAGCAGCCGCGGUAAUACGUAGGGUGCAAGCGUUAAUCGGAAUUACUGGGCGUAAAGCGUGCGCAGGCGGUUUUGUAAGUCAGAUGUGAAAUCCCCGGGCUUAACCUGGGAACUGCGUUUGAAACUACAAGGCU